GAAGGACAAACUUGCACCUGGACCCAAUCAGCACUGAUUGGAGAGUGGCAUCAAGCCCAGCGAUGAACAACACAGCUGAUAGGACACGCCAUCUUCAAGCCUGGGAAAAGUCUUACAUCCCAGCGCAGGGACUACACACUGUCUGACAGCCGAGAGGAACGGGGUGGAGCAGCUAUUUUUACCUGAAGCCCAGGAGUGAGCUCAACAAGGAAGGUGAAACGAGAGGAAGAGUGGAAAUUUAGACAGCACUCGGGAAUGUGAAUUGGGCAACGUUAAUCAUCUGGACAGCAAAGACAUUAACUGUGUAUGAAGCUCGGGUCUCUAGAUGUUGCACGAACUGUUCGAAAAGUGAAGGAGAAGAAAAUGGUAUGGCAAGAUUUUGCAGACUGCUGAAUCCGUCGGGAUUUGCAACAAAGGCAGCGAGACGCAGCUACAGUGCGAAAUAAACAAGAUGCCCGUGGAAUUGAAAAGACGGACGCCUCUCCUGCUGUGCAUUCAAAUUGCUCUGUGCGUUCUGACAGGCCGCUGUCUCCAGCGCGUCUGGGAUAUCGGACGUUGUGGAAAUGGUGUUUAUUUCUGUCCGUUCGGUCUUGGGAAAUCUUCAGAAACACGGAAUUGCCCCGCUUCGAACAGCCUCUAUUAUCCCCGGAAUCGCCGGACGACAGAACAGGCAAGAAAAAUGACCGGCGCGCUCUCCCUAUUCCCCGGAGAAGUCAAGACUGCUGUCCUUGUGAUGCUCAGUGACUCCAGUGUGGCUCACAGCCAUGGUCAGUGAACACGGCUAACCAAGCCCACAGUCAGGGUAGUAUCUUUCUUCCCUCUCCUCCUCUUUGGUGUAACACACUCGUCUGCUUUUAGCGCACACGCCCCUCCGUUCUCCACUCUGGUCAUCAGUCACCGUCGGGCCAGAUAGGAGCAGCCGUCAGGCGUUUGAGUGACGACUGGAUCCGUUACCUGAAUGCCUGCAUGACAAUGGGCCUUGUGCUUAGAGAGAAGCUGCAACUCCAAAACACGCACAGAUGAUGCAACGUUCUGGCAGCUCUUCGUUGUUUGCUGUCCAGGUAGCUGUAAACAACUGAGGUAAAGAUGGUUCGUGCAGCGCACCUGCCCUGGCAACAUGUAGCUGAAUGCUGUAUACCUGCCUCUACACGAGCAGCAAAAACUUUCACCUGUAAUGUUUUGACAUUGAAAACACACACAAGAACUAUAAUAUGUGCACCCCUUCAGCUUUUUCACUCUUUGUUGCCUUACAGCCAUGAACCGGAGCGUAUUGUGUUGGGUUUAUGUGCAACAGACCGCCGCAAAGCAGAGUGAAAAUAAAAAGACUUUAUGGCUUUCAAAAUCAUUUACACAUAAGAUUCUAAAAAAAAUGUGGCAUGCUUUUGUCCUCAGAUAUCUAAACACAAUCCAGUGCAAGCAAUUGGCACAAAGCGAAUAUGCCGUGCUUACGAUAUUUCAUAAAGUACUAUUCAAUUCAUCAUCCACAAAUGGAAAUGGCUCCCCCAAAACUAUUCAGUUUAACGUUUGUCAAAGGUCAUGAGGAGGACGCGGCCAACAAUUAUAAAGGAGGAAAGUGCUCUCGGUAGAGGAAACUAGUGCGUAUGUUUUGGGCAAACGUUUAAAACCCUGCGAGUGGAAGAAAACUACCGUGAUACAUCACCCUAAACACACUAUCUCCUCUCUGAGGUGGGCUGCUUUUCCCCAGCAGGGAUGAGGAUAAAGUCAAGAGUUGAUGGGAAUAUUGAUGGAGCUAAAUACGGGGCAAACCUGGAAGAAAACCUACUAGAGGCAGCAAAUAUACACAAAACUGUUGCGGAUGUUUACCUUCAAGCAAGACAAAAACCCCAAACAAUGCAGCCAGAGCUACGAUGGAAUGGUUUAGAUUAAAUCACAUUCACGUGUGUCAAAUUCCAGACCUGCAUCCAAUAGAGAAUGUGAGGCAAGACUUUAAAGAUGAAUACAAAUACAUGCAACCAUUUGCAGGUUUCGUACUGUCACAAAUGUUGAAAACCAUGCAUUGUCUGAUUUGCACUUCUUGGCUUUGCGUUCGUCCACCAGGUAUUACUUCCUAUUGUCGCCACAGCUCCAAAAUAUAGUAUUUAAUUCAUACUUGAAUAGGUAAAAUGUAUCACAAACGCACCAUCUAAUUAGAAAAUAACCUAGUUGUACGUUUGCAAUGUGCCUCAUCCAAGCAAAUCCGGAAUAGCUUUGAGCUGUUUGAAAAAGCCAAGUCUAAACACAUCCUUUAAUCUUGAGAACAGGUGGUGGAUGGCUGCAGACCUGGAGGUACUGACCCUCGGACGCUUCAUUUGUGAGUUUAUACAGCAAAUGUUGCUCUCAGGAUACUGUUAUGCAUUCUAAGCACACCAGAGGAUUUACAACAAUGAAAGUCUUCCCAAAAGGCACCAAAAUGCACAAAUUAUUUCAUAAGUUCCCUUGAACUGGAGCUGAUCUGCUAUUUGUUACCUCAAGCACUUGGCAAAACACAAGAAAAUAGGUGCAGCCCUUAGACUCGAAAAGGCUUUACUGCUAAUGUCUCCCACUAGUGCAGUGCUGUCUGACUGAGAAACAUCAUCACAACAAAACUGAAAAUACCUUGAUCCAAUUAGAAACGCAGGCUUAUUUGGUCGAGUAUGAAUGCUUAAAUCAGUGAUACCAGCAGGUAAUUAUCAAAUUUCCCCCCAACCCGCUCCCCCCACCCCUGCAGAGUGUUUGUAUGGCUCUGACUGAGCGCAGCAGGUCGGUCUUGUGUUUGAACACCAGCGGAUGAUGAUUAUGCUAAUUUAACAAUUCCAAAGCACUAUUGUACGUCGCGGACUUUUGUUGCAGACCCGUUGACCUUAUUAACCUUCUUAAUCCUCAGCUGAGUUUUCACGAUAAGGGACUUUGAACCACACAUAGAAGCAUUCGCAGACUUCAGAAGCCCCGUCCUGCACACCUGAGAUUCUCUGCACAGUAUCAACAGAAGCCCUGAAGUAAUCCGAGACAAUUAACACCACCUAAGAUCAACAGUGGGGCGGGGAAGCAAGUGGAUAGUGACGCUUGGAGCAAGGGGUUCUCCCAGUGUGGGCACAUGAGAAAUCAGGUCUGAUUGGUAUUAAGUGGUAAGAUUAAAAAGCCAAUCUUACAGGUCAGGUCAGCCAGCGUUCAUUUGAAUGCGUUACCAGCUUCUGAGUCUAGAUAAUUCUCUCAUUAGUGCCACUCACACCCUGAGUGACAACACGGGUGAGGAAGGAGCAUGUCUUACAACACUUUGAGUUAAUUAGUCCACACACUCUGUUGUUCCCUCUCCCAUGCCGCUGCUCUAAGCUCAUCUUCUUUAAAUGGCCUUAACUUGAAGCCUUUUUAAUUUUUAAAUUUUUUUAAAGGAACCACUUGUUGUUUGAGGGGGACCUUAAAAAUGAGCUUGUUUCAAGAACAAGCUCCAUUCACCACAGUGAUGAGCCCUCCUCGUAAUGUGAAAGGCCUUUAGGUAAAUGCGUUGUUUUUUUGCAGGAGAAUGAUUUCAUACUGAGGUAUUUCUCUCAUGAUUCUUUAAGUUUAGAGCCAUCUCCAGCACUUCCUGUUUCUGAAGUAGAAUUAAAACCAUGUGACACAGAGGAUCAUUACUUUUAGCCACUCUUCAAAAUGGGAAAGACACUGGUUGUUCAGGAGG